AUUAGUCUUCCACCUAGGCAAAGAAAAGGAGAUGAUUGUUCUGGGUGGCCUUUAAAAGGAAUGGCAGGACUGUUAGGAAGUUAAUAGUCAUCUCUAAGUCACGUCUGAUUCAGCUUUGCUGUCACUUGGAAGGAAUGCUAGAGAAGAGCAUUUCCUCUCUGAGGAAAGCUUGAAAGUUUGAGAGAGCCACUUAGAGAGUCUGAAGCAUGGAGCACUCUCCAAUGAGGACAGGGUUGCUUUGGUGCCUGCUCCCUUUGUCAGACAGGUACAUUUGAAAGCAUAGUAUUCUGGCACAGUUCACAUUGCAAGAUUAAUCCAUCACUGGAAAACUCCAGCACGCACUGCAGUCUGUGAGAACCUUUGUGUGGAUCUGCUUUGGCUCCCUGGCUCUGCAUGGAACCGAUUCCUGAUAUGCAAAAGUCCCUUCUCUGCAGCCCCAGGCUGCCAGGAGAGGGCAGGCAGCUGCCAGCAGCCCGCUGGAGGAUGAGAAACUCUUCACAGUGAACUAAGAAACCCACCGAUAAAAGCAGAUAAAAUCAGAAAAGCAGAACAUCAAGUGACACUGCAGCACGUCUAACACCUGUUCAUUGAAAUUACAGAAGCAGAAAAGUAAUAGAAAUUUGCUGCAUUUCCAGGUGUGGACAUGAACUAACAAUCAAUUACCCAAAUACCUGCCAUGCUUGAGGAUUUUUUUAAAAAAAUGAAUCCAGCA